UUCCUACGGGAGGCAGCAGUAGGGAAUCUUCCGCAAUGGGCGAAAGCCUGACGGAGCAACGCCGCGUGAGUGAUGAAGGUCUUCGGAUCGUAAAACUCUGUUAUCAGGGAAGAACAAACGUGUAAGUAACUGUGCACGUCUUGACGGUACCUGAUCAGAAAGCCACGGCUAACUACGUGCCAGCAGCCGCGGUAAUACGUAGGUGGCAAGCGUUAUCCGGAAUUAUUGGGCGUAAAGCGCGCGUAGGCGGUUUUUUAAGUUUGAUGUGAAAGCCCCCGGCUCAACCGUGGAGGGUCCUUGGAAACUGGAAAACUUGAGUGCAGAAGAGGAAAGUGGAAUUCCAUGUGUAGCGGUGAAAUGCGCAGAGAUAUGGAGGAACACCAGUGGCGAAGGCGACUUUUUGGUCUGUAACUGACGCUGAUGUGCGAAAGCGUGGGGAUCAAACCGGAUUAGAUACCCUGGUAGUCCACGCCGUAAACGAUGAGUGCUAAGUGUUAGGGGGUUUCCGCCCCUUAGUGGUGCAGGUAACGCCUUAAGCACUCCGCCUGGGGAGUACGACCGCAAGGUUGAAACUCAAAGGAAUUGACGGGGACCCGCACCAGCGGUGGAGCAUGUGGUUUAAUUUGAAGCAACGCGAAGAACCUUACCAAAUCUUGACAUCCUUUGACCACUCUAGAGAUAGAGUUUUCCCCUUCGGGGGACAAAGUGACAGGUGGUGCAUGGCUGUCGUCAGCUC
rnacentral:rRNA from 1 species